rnacentral:lncRNA from 1 species
AUGGUGGCGGCGGCGGAGAGCUAUAAUGUACUGGAGGUGGCGGCGGAGAACUGUAAUGGACUUCCGGUGGUGGGGGUGAGCUGUAAUGAACCGGCGGUGGCGGCGGUGGAGAGCUGUAAUAGACUGGUGGAGGUGGCGGAGAGCUGUAGUAGACUGGCGGUGGAGGCGGAGAGCUAUAAUGAAUGACUGGUGGAGGAGGAGGUGAAUACUCUAUACACGGUGGAGGUGGUGGUGGUGGUUGUUCUAUACAAGGAGGUGGGGGAGGAGGGGAAUAGACCGGAGUGGGUGGUGGAGAGUAAACUGGUGUUGGUGGGGGCGGUGGAGA